AACGCGAAGAACCUUACCAGGUCUUGACAUCUAGAGAACUUUCCAGAGAUGGAUUGGUGCCUUCGGGAACUCUAAGACAGGUGCUGCAUGGCUGUUGUCAGCUCGUGUCGUGAGAUGUUGGGUUAAGUCCCGUAACGAGCGCAACCCUUGCCCUUAGUUGCCAGCACGUAAUGGUGGGAACUCUAAGGGGACUGCCGGUGACAAACCGGAGGAAGGUGGGGAUGACGUCAAGUCAUCAUGGCCCUUACGACCUGGGCUACACACGUGCUACAAUGGGCGGUACAAAGGGUUGCCAAACCGCGAGGUGGAGCUAAUCCCAUAAAACCGUUCGUAGUCCGGAUUGGAGUCUGCAACUCGACUCCAUGAAGUCGGAAUCGCUAGUAAUCGUGAAUCAGAACGUCACGGUGAAUACGUUCCCGG
rnacentral:rRNA from 1 species